rnacentral:rRNA from 1 species
UACGGAGGAUGCAAGCGUUAUCCGGAAUGAUUGGGCGUAAAGCGUCCGCAGGUGGCUAUGUAAGUCUGCUGUUAAAGAGUGAGGCUCAACCUCAUAAGAGCAGUGGAAACUACAUGGCUAGAGUGCGUUCGGGGCAGAGGGAAUUCCUGGUGUAGCGGUGAAAUGCGUAGAGAUCAGGAAGAACACCGGUGGCGAAGGCAGCUAGCUAGACCGACAUUGACGCUGAGGCACGAAAGCGUGGGGAUCAAACAGG